rnacentral:piRNA from 1 species
UAUCACUCUUGUCAGAGCGGUCGUGGU